CACUCCUACGGGAGGCAGCAGUGGGGAAUAUUGCACAAUGGGCGCAAGCCUGAUGCAGCCAUGCCGCGUGUAUGAAGAAGGCCUUCGGGUUGUAAAGUACUUUCAGCGGGGAGGAAGGCGAUAAGGUUAAUAACCUUGUUGAUUGACGUUACCCGCAGAAGAAGCACCGGCUAACUCCGUGCCAGCAGCCGCGGUAAUACGGAGGGUGCAAGCGUUAAUCGGAAUUACUGGGCGUAAAGCGCACGCAGGCGGUCUGUCAAGUCGGAUGUGAAAUCCCCGGGCUCAACCUGGGAACUGCAUUCGAAACUGGCAGGCUAGAGUCUUGUAGAGGGGGGUAGAAUUCCAGGUGUAGCGGUGAAAUGCGUAGAGAUCUGGAGGAAUACCGGUGGCGAAGGCGGCCCCCUGGACAAAGACUGACGCUCAGGUGCGAAAGCGUGGGGAGCAAACAGGAUUAGAAACCCGAGUAGUCCCAU
rnacentral:rRNA from 1 species